GAUUUUAGUGGUAGCCCCAUGCUCCUGAUAGGCUAUGUGCCGUGAAAAGGACGCAUAAAGAUAAACGCUUGUGGACAACAUCACCUUAGAGUGAAAAGACGGGGAAAUGGCCAAAAGGAGACAGGCCUAAAUCAGUCCCCUACCUACAUUUUCUCCCAAUUCGCGACGCAUUCAACCCUAUGAGGAUCCAUGAGGAGAUGAGAGAGGAGGAGAGAGUGAGAAACAGAGAAAAGAAAAGCACUAAGUUCUUACAGGACGCAUCUGACCAGGCCAAAAUGCCAACUCUGCCACCUUGGGGACACAGGAAGGAACAAUUGAAGGAAUGCGUUUCAGGCAGACGGACGGACGGACGGGCAGACGGACGGGCGGACGGGCAGACGGACGGACGUACACACAGACCCUCUUAGAGAGAUGCUGGGACGCAUCUAAAAACAGCAUACAUGGUGACAUAUCACAUGGUGUCAAACUAUCGCGGGAUGAAGACUGCAGACGGACCUUGCAACCCCCGCAGUUGCUUAUCCCCGUUGAUGCUCGUCUGCAGACCGCCUCUGAGGUCACAUGCCCAUGAACUGGU